CAAGGAAUUUUCCGCAAUGGGCGCAAGCCUGACGGAGCAACGCCGCGUGCAGGAAGACGGCCUUCGGGUUGUAAACUGCUUUUGUUGGGGAAGAUACGGACGGUACCCAACGAAUAAGCCCCGGCUAACUCCGUGCCAGCAGCCGCGGUAAUACGGAGGAGGCAAGCGUUAUCCGGAAUCAUUGGGCGUAAAGCGUUCGCAGGCGGCGAUUCAAGUCUGCUGUCAAAGCCCGCAGCUCAACUGCGGACAGGCAGUGGAAACUGAAUCGCUAGAGUGCGGCAGGGGUAGAGGGAAUUCCCGGUGUAGCGGUGAAAUGCGUAGAUAUCGGGAAGAACACCAGUGGCGAAAGCGCUCUACUGGGCCGCAACUGACGCUCAGGGACGAAAGCUAGGGGAGCGAAAGGGAUUAGAUACCCCCGUAGUCC
rnacentral:rRNA from 1 species